rnacentral:rRNA from 1 species
UACGAAGGGGGCUAGCGUUGUUCGGAAUUACUGGGCGUAAAGGGCGCGCAGGCGGGAGAUCAAGUCAGGCGUGAAAGCCCCGGGCUCAACCUGGGAAUUGCGCUUGAGACUGGUUUUCUAGAGUUCGGGAGAGGAGAGUGGAAUUCCCAGUGUAGAGGUGAAAUUCGUAGAUAUUGGGAAGAACACCGGUGGCGAAGGCGGCUCUCUGGACCGAUACUGACGCUGAGGCGCGAAAGCGUGGGGAG